rnacentral:rRNA from 1 species
CCUACGGGAGGCAGCAGUGGGGAAUAUUGCACAAUGGGGGAAACCCUGAUGCAGCGACGCCGCGUGAGUGAAGAAGUAUUUCGGUACGUAAAGCUCUAUCAGCAGGGAAGAAAAUGACGGUACCUGACUAAGAAGCCCCGGCUAACUACGUGCAAGCAGCCGCGGUAAUACGUAGGGGGCAAGCGUUAUCCGGAUUUACUGGGUGUAAAGGGAGCGUAGACGGCAGCGCAAGUCUGGAGUGAAAUCCCAUGGCUUAACCAUGGAACUGCUUUGGAAACUGUGCAGCUAGAGUGCAUGAGAGGUAAGCGGAAUUCCUAGUGUAGCGGUGAAAUGCGUAGAUAUUAGGAGGAACACCAGUGGCGAAGGCGGCUUACUGGACUGUAACUGACGUUGAGGCUCGAAAGCGUGGGGAGCAAACAGGAUUAGAUACCCGUGUAGUC